rnacentral:ncRNA from 1 species
CCUUCGCCGCAUGUUUCAGGUGCCCGGGACUCAUGGGUCCGCAGGGUGAAACAGGGAAGCCGGUGCGACCGCAUGUUGCGAUCAAUCCCGGCGCUGCCUCCGCAACGGUAAAUGAGUCAAGGCCACGCACGAUGCCACUGUGUUCAUUGAGCAUGGGAAGGCGCCUGGCCCGCCGCUUCGGCGGCAACUCAUGAGUCCGGAGACCGGCCUGAUCCAUCGAACAGCA